AUAGUUUCUAGAUCAAGGGUGUCUGAUCUUUUGGCUUCCCUUGGCCACGUUGGAAGAAGAAUGAUUGUCUUGGGCCACACAUAAAACACAUUAACAUCAAUGAUAGCUGUUGAGCUA